UGAGAGGGGGGGGGGGCAGCGGAGUGAUGGAAAGGGUGUUUGUGGGAUAUCUCUGGUGGAUAAUAGCAUGGCGGAGCGGUUGGCAUACAUAGGGGUGAUAGCGAGGUCGAUGGGGGGACGAGUCGGGGAGCGUGGGAGGGGUGUUUCGCGGGCAAGGCUUGACGCGGCCCUGGCGGUAGCAGCAUGUGAGAGGGGCAUCACGGUGGGGUGGGACGGGGUGCAAUGUUUGAAACCUCUGGGAGGGCGGAUUGGGCCAACUGUGGUAGAGGCGUUAGAAAUAAUUGGGGAGUCGGGGAGGGAGAAGCUAGUAAAUGAUAAACUAGCAUGGGAGCCAUCAGCGG
rnacentral:lncRNA from 1 species